rnacentral:rRNA from 1 species
UGGAACCUGUCCUAUAAUUGAUGAUCCACGAUUAAUUGUACUUAAAUUAAAAGUUUAUAUAUCGUCGUAGUUGAAUACCUUAUAAGAGUUAAAGUAUUCAUUAUUUAAAAUUUAAUAAAUUAAAUCAGAUCAAGAUAUAGCAUAUAUUUAAGAAGAGAUGGGUUACAAUAAAUUUAUUUAUGGAUAUAAUAAUUAAAAUUAUUAUUGAAAUUGGAUUUGAAAGUAAUAUUUUUUAAUUUAAAAGUAUGAUUAAAGCUCUAAAAUAUGCACAUAUCGCCCGUCGCUUCCAAUGAAAAUUAAAUUGGAAUAAGUCGUAACAUAGUAGGCGUACCGGAAGGUGUGCCUAGAUUUACAAAUUAAAGCUUAAUAGAAGUUUUUUAUUUACAUUAAAAAGAUAAUUGUGAAAUUCAAUUUAAUUUGAAUUUAAAAAUUUAUUUAUUUUAUAAAUUAUUUAAGAUUUUAAAAAAAAUAUUUUUUUUGUUUAUUUAUUAAUUUAGAUAAAAUUAUGAAUAAUUAUAGUUUAUUAGUAUAGUGAUAGAAUAUUGAAAGAUUUGAAAAUUAAAAUAUUUUAAAGAAAAAUUAAUUUUUUGUACCUUGUGUAUCAGGGUUUAUUAAAUAAAAAUUAAAUAAAUUUAAUUUUCUCGAAUUUAAAAGAGCUAAAAAAUUAUAUAUUUUAUUGUGAAAUAAAUAUUUAAAAUAAUUUUUUAGAAAUGAAACGUUAGUCGUUUUUAAUGAUAUCUAGUUUUUUAAGAAAUAAAUUUAAUUUAGUUAAUUAUUUAAAUUUAAAUAAUUAUAUAUUUAAAUUAAUAUAAUUAAUUAAUAUUUUAAGGGAUAAGCUUUAAAAUAAACUUUUAUAAAUAAAAUAAGAAUAUAAUAUAAAUAAAUAGGAUUAGAAAUUUUUAUUUUUAAUAGUGUGUUAUAAUAAAUUUAUAUUUAUAUUAAAUUUUUAUAAAAUUUUAAAUUAUUUAUUAAAAUUAUUUAUUUAAUAUUAAAUUAUAUGAAAUAAUGAUAAAAUUAGUAUAAAUUAAUUUUUAAGAAAAUUAUAUUUUUAAGUUUAAAUUAAGGAACUCGGCAAAAUAUUUUUCUGCCUGUUUAUUAAAAACAUGUCCUUUUGAUUAUAAUUUAAGGUCUGACCUGCUCAAUGAAUUUUUAAAUAGCCGCGGUAUUUUGACCGUGCAAAGGUAGCAUAAUCAUUAGCUUUUUAAUUAGGAGCUGGUAUGAAUGGUUGGACAAGAAAAAGACUGUCUCAGUUUAAAUUUAAUUAGAACUUUAUUUUUAAGUUAAAAAGCUUAAAUAAGUUUAAAAGACGAGAAGACCCUAUAGAGUUUUAUAUUAAUUUAUUUA